UCACUGGAUUCAAAGUCCAGAGUGCUCACCAUUACACCAUGGAACCAGCUUGAAGGUUGCGCACGCAGUUGUGAACAUGUUUCUCACUUGACUUCAGCCUACCUACUGUUGCGAUAGAUACUGCCCUGUAACAGGACUGAGCUUAAGUCCAAGCGACCAGAAACCUCAGCAAAGCCAAAGCUGUGUUCACAAACUAAAGGACUAGUAAUAUCAGCAGAGCAAUUGGUACUCAAGUUGUACACAUGAGCAAAGCCAGGUACCUGCAACUGGAUUUUUGUAGAAACUGCUUUGGCCUUCCAUUAGUCUUCCUCCCCACUGCAAGGAGCGAUGUCUUCGUCCUCCAGCCCAAAAGGUUGUUCUUGUUGUUGCCAGGUGAAAACAGUAGCAGUCUGCACCCUGAAUGGAGCCAAAAGGAAUGGAAGCUGCCUCAUCACAAGACUUGAAUAGCAGUUCCCCAACCCUAGACCUUCAUAGAGGACUUUUUCUCAUGUCUGCUGGAGACCACCUUCAACAUGGAACUGAAAAUGCCUCCUCUUAGCAUCUUUAUUUUUCUGUGUCAAAGCAGAUUAUUUUGCAUGUUUUAUCUUCAGACUAUUUACCCGUAAAUUAUGCACCAUGUUACUGUUGGUGAUUGUUGUAAACAUCAUUGUCAAUGUUUUUUUGUGUUGUUUACUUCAAUUUUCAAUAAAGACACAUUUUCUGUA